GAGGGUGUAGCUCAGGGGUAGAGCGUGUGCUUAGCAGGCACGAGGUCCUGGGUUCAAUCCCCGGUACCUCCA
rnacentral:tRNA from 1 species